rnacentral:sRNA from 1 species
CCAAAAUGCCAAGAAUCCAACAGUAUUCAUUUAGGAGUCAUGUUACCAACUACAAUACUUCAAAAACCUCUAUUUCAAACAGCAUCCAAGCACUUUCCUUGUCAAAGCUACAGGAUAUAAUGCAAAACAAAAACAAAAAAACUUCUGUAUUUAUCCUUUAAAAAAUUCAUCUUAUUGCCCAUUUUUCUUAUUUUUAUUGCCCAUUUUAAUAAAAUAUCAUGCUUUAUUUUGUAGCACUGUAACAAAAUUAUUGGAACCUACUUUGAGAAAUGUGGAAAGGUUGCUGCUCUAUCCAAUGACUACAAAAUGAUCUGCAUUGAUGAAUACUGCCAAACUAGAGACAAAACAUCUACAUGUGACACUUAUUCAGAACUGUCCCGCCUCUGUGCCUCAGAUGGUCCUGGCACCUUUGAAUCCUGGCGAAGCGAUUCCGAUGUGGUUUGUGAAACACACAGAUGUCCAGAACAACAUAUCUACAAAGAAUGUGGACCCUCCAACCCUGCAACUUGUUCUAAUGUGGCUCCUUUUCAAGACAGUGAAUGUAUGAGCGGCUGCACCUGCCCAGAAGGUUAUCUGUUGGAUGAUAUUGGAGAGAAAGGAAAAUGUGUAUUAAAAGCUGAAUGUCCCUGUGAAUCCAGUGGAAAAGUGUACCAGCCAGGAGAAGUCCGAG